rnacentral:lncRNA from 1 species
CAGGCCGCCAGCAUAUGGUCGGAGGCGCCCGACCUAGAGGGUGCCCGAUCUGGAGGGCGCCCGACCUGGAGGACGCCCGACCUGGAGGACGCCCGAUCUGGAAAGCGCCCGAUCCCGAUCUCGGAAGGCAUCCGAUCCCGGAAGCUGGAUCUCGCCGACUGCCCGCUGCGGUCACAUCCUCCUACGGCCCGAUUUGGGAUCAUAAAUGACAAUGCAUUGCUACAUAAAGAAUGGCUCAGACACGGCCGCGUCUAGCAACUACUUGUGCUUCAAGCUUCCAAGUCUAGACUCCGCGUAUCAUAAUGGUCGACAUCGUUUGCAAUCAUAGAGAUGCGCCUUUUUUUCAGAAAGCCUUCUAUAAUUUCCUUUACGGAUAGCUAUGGUAGCUUGAAACUUCUCCCUGCUGGAUCCUGCAUUAAUCUCCGGCUUACUCAAAAAUUAAUGCGCAUGGCCUCUGCAGACCUCCGGCUUACUCAACGAUUAAUGCGCAUGGUCUCUGCAGACCUCCGGCUUACUCAACAAUUAAUAUGCAUGGUCUCUGUUAACUACGGAUCUCCAGUCCUCCAUAGCAAAUCAGCUUGGCUGCAUCCAGUCAGCCGUGACAACUCCCUGAUUCCGACCUCAUCCUCUACGGCAAGGCAUUAAUUCGCAUGAUCGUGCAUCAAUUCAUGCGACGUGCUUGGUUGUAGGGCAACCUCGCCCCAUCACAUCACAGGUAACCCAGCGCCCCUCUAUAAAAGAAGAAUCCUCCUACCUUGGAGGGGGCUGGACGCUGAAACUCUGGACAUAUUUUCCUCCAUACAUUCUUCCCCCCUCUAACUUAGGCAUCGGAGGGCCGGCGCCGGAAACCCCGGCCACCGGCUUUUUUGCAGGUCCCCCGGAGGACGCCGCCCGCUGACGGAUCGCCACCCACUGCCAGACGACGGAGCUCCUCUCUUCUCACCCAGUGGACAUCUUCGGGUCUAAUUUCCAGCAACAAUUGGCGCUAGAGGAAGGGCCCGAGUCGUGGCCAUGAAGUUGAGAAGUAAAGGAGCCUCCAAUGCUUUCCGACGUCUUCCACCAAGUUCUGGACACUCCGUCCAAAACUCGCCGCCUCCGGCCGACCCGGUUCCCCAAGUCCAGCCGGAACAGUUCAACAUCCUGGUGCAGCAGGUCCAGGCUUUGGCCGCCGCCGUCCAAGGCUUGUGGCGUGAGGAAGCCUCACCUAUGCUACCUCCACAGGCCCUGGCCCAACCGGUGCUUCCUCCAAAUGGACCGAUCUCCCAGGGCCAAAAUCUUCAUGGCUCCUCCAAGGCUAAUAAUGAAGAACGAGCGUCUCCCCGAAGAGAACUGCCGAGGAGAAGCCUGGACAGAAGGCCGUAGCCUUCGGAGGCUGAGUCAGCCCCGGACCACCACGAACCGAAGCGGGCUACUGUGACAAUCCCCCAGGUUGGGGAGCUCGACAGGAAGGUCGAGAACUUGGAGCGCCAGAUUGAAGCGCUUCAUAACAGGAAGGCAAGGCGCGAGGGUGACUUUGAGUUUACCACCAAGUUCCUCUUUUCUUGCCAGAUCGAGGGUAAGCCGGUCCCACCGAGGUUCAAAAUGCUCCAGGUGGAGCCCUACAACGGAACUGCCGACCCCCUCGACCACUUGGAGAGCUACCGAGCCCUCAUGGCAUUGCAAGGAUCCUCGGAGGCUGUGCUCUGCAAGGCCUUCCCAGCUACCCUUCGAGGAACCGCUCGGCUUUGGUUCUCUGGACUGAAGCCGAGCUCGAUAUCUUCUUUCAUCGGAAAUCGCCCUGGGGCGCCACCGGAAAAGCUCUGUCACGACUGGGAAAGGAAAACAGGAGAAGAGAAGCGACAGAAAAGAGGAAAGCAGCCAAGCAAGACCUUUUUUAGGGCCAGGUUAAGGAGUUUAUAUAGACCCUCCCAACGGCCCAGAUCGGCAGGGCUGGAUCCCGCCUUUCGCCCAGAUUGCGCCACGUGCCGGCCCCGAAAGCUGAAGCAGCACAUUCAUUCCGGGCUGGCGCCUCGAAUACGAAAUCGAGGCGGUGUCCCGUCGGAUCCCGGAGCCCCAUCAUGAGCCCACUACACGAGGCGGCCUCGAAGGACGAAAGGGUGUCGCCCCUCUCCUCUCAUUAAAAGCACCACGAAGCGCGCGGAGCGUCGACACAAUUUAAGUCUCCCUGGCCCCCACCACUGCAAUAAAAGCAACUACUUCCUACGUCCGAGCUCGCGAACAGCUCGAACUCGGAAGUCGGGGGAGUGUUGGAGGAAAAUAAACCGCCCCAAAGUACGUAAGCAGGCCACCAGCACAUAGUCGGAGGUGCCCGACCUAGAAGGCGCCCGAUCUGGAGGGCGCCCGACCUGGAGGACGCCCGACCUGGAGGACGCCCGACUUGGAAAGCGCCCGAUCCCGAUCUCGGAAGGCAUCUGAUCCCGGAAGCCGGAUCUCGCCGACUGUCCGCUGCGGUCACAUCCUCCUACGGCCCGAUUUGGGACCACGCCUUGAGCGGCUUACUCAACAGUUAAUGCGCAUGGCCUCUGCAGACCUCCGGCUUACUUAACAAUUAAUGCACAUGGCCUCUGCAGACCUACGGCUUACUCAACGAUUAAUGCGCAUGGUCUCUGCAAACCUCCAGCUUACUCAACAAUUAAUGUGCAUGGUCUCUGUUACCUACGGAUCUCUAGUCCUCCACGGCAAAUCAGUUCGGCUGCAUCCAGUCAGCCGUGACAACUCCCUGAUUCUGACCUCAUCCCCUACGGCAAGGCAUGAAUUCGCAUGAUCGUGCAUCAAUUCAUGCGACGUGCUCGGUUGUACGGCAACCUCGCCCCAUCACAUCACAGGUAACCCAGCGCCCCUCUAUAAAAGGAGAAUCCUCCUACCUUAGAGGGGGCUGGAUGCUGAAACUCUGGACAUAUUUUCCUCCAUACAUCCUUCCCCCCUCUGACUUAGACAUCGUAGGGCCGGCGCCG